UCCCUCUCAGGAUGGCACCUGGAGAGUUUCCAGUACUCUACCAGUCUCAACUACGGGAGGGAGAGUCAAGCAGAGGCAUACCAUUUCCAUUCCUAUGCUGGGCAGUGUCUAGUGAGUGGAAGGCAAUCUGCUACAAGU